rnacentral:misc_RNA from 1 species
GUUUGCUUUAGAUUCGUCUAUCGCUUCGUCAAUGUUUAUCGUGUGUAGAUACUCGUGCUUGCGCACGAGAUCGUGUGUAGUAGAUUUGUUAAUGAUCCUUCCGCAGGUUCACCUACGGAAA